CACGUAGGGGGCGAGCGUUGUCCGGAAUCAUUGGGCGUAAAGAGCUCGUAGGCGGCUUGUCGCGUCGUCCGUGAAAACCUGCGGCUCAACUGCAGGCUGGCGGUCGAUACGGGCAGGCUGGAGUUCGGUAGGGGAGACUGGAAUUCCUGGUGUAGCGGUGAAAUGCGCAGAUAUCAGGAGGAACACCGGUGGCGAAGGCGGGUCUCUGGGCCGAUACUGACGCUGAGGAGCGAAAGCGUGGGGAGCGAACAGG
rnacentral:rRNA from 1 species